rnacentral:rRNA from 1 species
AAACUUAAAGGAAUUGACGGGGGCCCGCACAAGCGGUGGAACAUGUGGUUUAAUUCGAUGAUACGCGAGGAACCUUACCUGGAUUUAAAUGGGGAGUGACAGGCUUAGAGAUAGGCUUUUCUUCGGACACUCUUCAAGGUGCUGCAUGGUUGUCGUCAGCUCGUGCCGUGAGGUGUCGGGUUAAGUCCCAUAACGAGCGCAACCCACGUUGUUAGUUACCAGCAUGUAGUGAUGGGGACUCUAACAAGACUGCCGGUGUAAACCGCGAGGAAGGUGUGGAUGACGUCAAAUCAGCACGGCCCUUACAUCCAGGGCUACACACGUGUUACAAUGGCCGGUACAGAGGGCAGCUACCCCGCGAGGGGAUGCGAAUCCUAUAAAACCGGUCUCAGUUCGGAUUGGAGUCUGCAACCCGACUCCAUGAAGCUGGAUUCGCUAGUAAUCGCGCAUCAGCCAUGGCGCGGUGAAUACGUUCCCGGGCCUU